AGUGAACGCUGGCGGUAGGCCUAACACAUGCAAGUCGAACGGCAGCACAGUAAGAGCUUGCUCUUACGGGUGGCGAGUGGCGGACGGGUGAGGAAUACAUCGGAAUCUACUUUUUCGUGGGGGAUAACGUAGGGAAACUUACGCUAAUACCGCAUACGACCUACGGUUGAAAGCAUGGGAUCUUCUGACCUUGCGCGAUUGAAUGAGCCGAUGUCGGAUUAGCUAGUUGGCGGGGUAAAGGCCCACCAAGGCGACGAUCCGUAGCUGGUCUGAGAGGAUGAUCAGCCACACUGGAAGUGAGACACGGUCCAGAGUCCUACGGGAGGCAGCAGUGGGGAAUAUUAGACAAUGGGCGCAAGCAUGAUCCAGCCAUACCGAGUGGGUGAAGAAGGCGUUCGGGUUGUAAAGCCCUUUUGUUGGGAAAGAAAAGCAGCAGGUUAAUACCCCGCUGUUCUGACGGUACCCAAAAAAUAAGCACCGGCUAACUUCGUG
rnacentral:rRNA from 1 species